ACCUGGUCAGUACUUGGAUGGGAAACUGCCUGUGAAGACCGGGU
rnacentral:rRNA from 1 species